UACAGAGGUCCCGAGCGUUGUUCGGAUUCAUUGGGCGUAAAGGGUGCGUAGGCGGUCUGCUAAGUUUGGUGUGAAAUCCCGGGGCUCAACCCUGGAAUUGCAUUGAAUACUGGUGGACUAGAGUACCGGAGAGGAAACUGGAAUUUACGGUGUAGCAGUGAAAUGCGUAGAGAUCGUAAGGAAGACCAGUGGCGAAGGCGAGUUUCUGGACGGUAACUGACGCUGAGGCACGAAGGCCAGGGGAGCAAACGGG
rnacentral:rRNA from 1 species